rnacentral:rRNA from 1 species
UCGGGAAUCUUCGGCAAUGGGGGGAACCCUGACCGAGCAACGCCGCGUGAGUGAAGAAGGUUUUCGGAUCGUAAAGCUCUGUUGUUAAGGAAGAACGAGUGUGAGAAUGGAAAGUUCAUACUGUGACGGUACUUAACCAGAAAGGGACGGCUAACUACGUGCCAGCAGCCGCGGUAAUACGUAGGUCCCGAGCGUUGUCCGGAUUUAUUGGGCGUAAAGCGAGCGCAGGCGGUUAGAUAAGUCUGAAGUUAAAGGCAGUGGCUCAACCAUUGUAGGCUUUGGAAACUGUUUAACUUGAGUGCAGAAGGGGAGAGUGGAAUUCCAUGUGUAGCGGUGAAAUGCGUAGAUAUAUGGAGGAACACCGGUGGCGAAAGCGGCUCUCUGGUCUGUAACUGACGCUGAGGCUCGAAAGCGUGGGGAGCGAACAGG